GACCCACACAAUUUUUGAUAUUCAACUCUAAAGUUUGAAUUUUAAGUUGAAUGUUUAAAACUAGCUAGUAAGUUGGAUCUUUUUUGUAUAAAUAGGUCCAAUUAUUACAUAGUAUUAUGUUAUAUUUUUGCAGUUACAGGUUUUUUUGAGAUAUAAUAUACAUAUACUGUAGUAAAAAGCAAUAGACAGUGUAAAUUAUUAGAUUUAUUACAAUAUUGCAUCCAGUUUGGUAUUAUAGGGACAUGGGUUUCAAAGAUGAUUAUUAUUUAUAAUAUACUACAGAUUAUAAAAUGCCCAUUGCAUAGAAGUGUUUAUGAAGAUUGAAUAAUUUAAGGAAUAGAGUAUGAAAAAUAUAUACUGAAUAUGGAUUUGAGUCUUAGUUGGAUUUUGAUGUAACCUGAGUUUAUAUUAAGGUGGAAAUGAAUAUUAUUAUCUAUUGUUAAAGUUUUGAGCUAUAAGAACGUUUAUAUUGUAUUUAGUACAAAUUGUUAAAAUUAUAACAAAAUAAUUAAAGGUCUUCACACAUUGCAGACUCAAACCAACUCCACUCUGACUCCAGUUACAGUUAAGCAUGGAAAUUUAAGCUUUAUAUUGUGUUCCUUAUGGUACAAUUUUCAAUAUUGAAUUGAAAGAAGUAUACGACGCGUGGACUACACAUGACUCAUGCGUCGUACGAAUGGUAUGCUUUAAUGUUGGAAACUCACGUUUCUACUGGAAGUUGAGUCAGAGUGGAGUUAGUGUUCAGUGUGUAAUGUGUGAAUACCUUUACUAAUUUAAUAUGUAUUAAGUAUGUACUACAUUGGUAAAGAAGGUAGUUCUGGGUUCUGUUAUCAUUUUAUGGUUGCAUUUUUUAAGGUUGGUUUUUAUGGGAGUUCUAAAUCAAUAAGGCAUGAUCUAUGCUACUCUGUGUUCUGGACAAGCAUUUCUCACAGGCGCAGUCUAGCAUGAAAUACUUCGUCCCCUUUAUUAGAUAAUAUUAUAAUGUAAUGAAUCCCGUCUCGAAUUAAGGUCACUUACAACUUCUAUAAAAUCCAAUCUUACCUGUAGAUUUAGAUGUAAAAAAUAUUAAUCCAAAGUGCUACUACUAAGCUGUGUACGACCGAAAAUAUUAUAACCUAUCUGUAAACUGUAGAUAAGUAACUAAGCAACAUUGUUCUGAUCCAUACUCCAUAUGCUAUCAAUGGCAACACACUCUUCGAAAACAGUUGACAUAUAACAGUAUUGCUGAAUUAGUUAUCGACAGAUUGCUGAUAAUUUUGGAUAACAUUAGAGGUGUAGCAAGUAAUGUACCUGUAACAAGAAUAAUUAGACUGUUAUCUUGUUGUAGUGACAUUUUAUUGGGAAGGUAGGGGACCAGAUGGCUUAUUUUUGAAUUUUUAUUUCAAAGUGUACCAAUUUAUCCUUCAACUUCCAUAUCGCAAUGUCAAUGCAACAAGACAACAGGAUCUUUAUUAUCAGGAGAUACAUUUCAUGUUACACCUCAAAAGUGAGUGCCCAGCUUUAUUAUGUAAGAAUUAUAAGGCUUAAAAUUAAAGGAGAAAAAUUAAGAUAACUCAUAAUUAAAACUAAUGAUAGGAGGUGUAAAUUAAUUGAAUAACUUUUUAUAUCAAAAAGAACUACAGCUGGCUGUAACUUAAGUUGUAUUAAUAAGAAUGUAAAAAAAUGACAUCUUCAUUGGGUGGCUAAAAAUUUAAUGAAUAGAUUAAAUGAUGCUUCAAUCUUUAUUUUUCAGAUAGUGUCACAAACUAUAAUUAAUUAUCAUAUAAAUAUUUAUUAUGUUGUGAUAGAAGUGAUUAUUCGAAAUGGCUAGGCAAAGUGAUUAAUGCAAAAGAAGAAUUUUUAUUUUAAUGAUGUGAGUUGCAUAAAAUGAAAUUUUUCUUUACAUUAAUCAAAUUACCCAGCCAUUUUUAAUAACUGAUUUUUAUUAUUGUUAAAUGUAACUCUAGCUUUGAUUGAGUUCAAUCAAGUCCUUAAUCCUUACAUUUGAAGCAUCAUUUAUGACUAAAAAAUCAGAAAGUAUCCCUAACCCUGUUGAUUUUAGUUUUCCUUACAGACUGAUUCACUAACACUAACUAUUAAUUAAAUAAUUUUAAGUUUUUU